GGCAACCAUGCCAUCCAUCACAAGGUGUGCUCCUUAUCCCUGUCAUCAUGUCAUUCAAAAUGGUAUUUGUACUUUGCAUAAACAUGUUUUGAGUCUUUUCACUAUACACUAUAAUUUUUCGUAUUUAAAAUCAGACGCACUGGAUGCCUGCUCUUUACUUCAAAUGCUUCUUGUAUCCUUAGGAAGUCUAAUACCUAUUUUCUUUAAAAAUAUUAUGCCUUGGAUAUAUCUGAGUUUGAUAAUAUAUUCCACAAGAUUACAUUAAUAUUAGCAAGAAAGCCAUCUUGUCAUUUAUAUGACUCUGGCCAUCUUGUCAUUUGAAUGACUGUAGUUCUGUUCUUCCAUGGCACAAUGCUAAUAACAAGCUGGACUGUGAGUGAUCAUAUUAUUUAUCUUGCCAAAUUAUGGCUUUUGCAGCUAUUUGAGAAGAGGAUUGGGG
rnacentral:misc_RNA from 1 species